CCCUGACGCAGCAACGCCGCGUGAGUGAAGAAGGCCUUUGGGUCGUAAAGCUCUGUCAACCGGGAAGAAGUUAACAUCAGCGAACAGUUGGUGUUAUUGACGGUACCGGUGGAGGAAGCGCCGGCUAACUCCGUGCCAGCAGCCGCGGUAACACGGGGGGCGCAAGCGUUAUUNGGAAUUAUUGGGCGUAAAGGGCGCGUAGGCGGUUCUGUCGGUCAGAUGUGAAAGCCCGGGGCUCAACCCUGGAAGUGCAUUUGAAACAGCAGAACUUGAGUACGGGAGAGGAAAGCGGAAUUCCUGGUGUAGAGGUGAAAUUCGUAGAUAUCAGGAGGAACACCNAUGGCGAAGGCAGCUUUCUGGACCGAUACUGACGCUGAGGCGCGAAGGCNUGGGUAGCGAACGNGAUUAGAUAUCCCCGGUAGUCCANGCAGUAAANGAUGUUCACNAGGUG
rnacentral:rRNA from 1 species